rnacentral:lncRNA from 1 species
AUUUGGUUAUAUCUGUUUAUAAAUGAGCUCUAUCAUAUACUAAUGAAAUAAAAAAAAUUGGGUCACUGUUUAUUUAAGCUCACAAUUUGCCUCUGAAAGAAGCAUAAAAUUGAGAAUGGAAUAGCGAAUGUGUCAAAGCGACAACAGCCGAAGGCCACCUAUGGGUCUUCAAUGUAGCGAGAAAGUCCCGCACCCUGAGGC